rnacentral:sRNA from 1 species
UUCGUUUGGUGCAAAAUAUGUCGAAUGUAAAAAAUGAGACUAACCGACGUGAUUGCCACGUCGGUUAUUUUUUUAC